rnacentral:snRNA from 1 species
AUUCCAAAUUUGCUUUAAUUAGUUCAGGUGCAUUUGUUAAACACGAAUAUGCCAAACCUGUGAUCAGGGCGAAGCUUAUUUAUUUCACUCCGGAUGUGCUGACCUCUGUGAUUUCCCCAAAUGUGGGGAACUUGACUGCAUAAUUUAGUGGGGGACUGCGUUCUCACUUUCUCAGG